rnacentral:rRNA from 1 species
UACGUAGGGAGCAAGCGUUGUCCGGAAUCAUUGGGCGUAAAGCGCGCGUAGGUGGCCUCAUAAGUCCGUUGUGAAAGUCAAAGGCUCAACCUUUGAAAGCCGAUGGAUACUGUGAGACUAGAGUACGGAAGAGGCGAGUGGAAUUCCUGGUGUAGCGGUGGAAUGCGCAGAUAUCAGGAGGAACACCAUAGCGAAGGCAGCUCGCUGGGACGUUACUGACACUGAGGCGCGAAAGCGUGGGGAGCGAACAGG